AGCGAACGCUGGCGGCAGGCCUAACACAUGCAAGUCGAACGGAUCCUUCGGGAUUAGUGGCGGACGGGUGAGUAACACGUGGGAACGUGCCCUUUGGUUCGGAACAACUCAGGGAAACUUGAGCUAAUACCGGAUGUGCCCUUCGGGGGAAAGAUUUAUCGCCAUUGGAGCGGCCCGCGUCUGAUUAGCUAGUUGGUGAGGUAACGGCCCACCAAGGCGACGAUCAGUAGCUGGUCUGAGAGGAUGAUCAGCCACACUGGGACUGAGACCCGGCCCAGACUCCUACGGGAGGCAGCAGUGGGGAAUCUUGCGCAAUGGGCGAAAGCCUGACGAAGCCAUGCCGCGUGAAUGAUGAAGGUCUUAGGAUUGUAAAAUUCUUUCAGCGGGGACGAUAAUGACGGUACCCGCAGAAGAAGCGCCGGCUAACUUCGUG
rnacentral:rRNA from 1 species